UUGAACGCUGGCGGCAGGCCUAACACAUGCAAGUCGAACGGUAACAGGAAACAGCUUGCUGUUUCGCUGACGAGUGGCGGACGGGUGAGUAAUGUCUGGGAAACUGCCUGAUGGAGGGGGAUUACUACUGGAAACGGUAGCUAAUACCGCAUAACGUCGCAAGACCAAAGAGGGGGACCCUCGGGCCUCUUGCCAUCGGAUGUGCCCAGAUGGGAUUAGCUUGUUGGUGGGGUAACGGCUCACCAAGGCGACGAUCCCUAGCUGGUCUGAGAGGAUGACCAGCCACACUGGAACUGAGACACGGUCCAGACUCCUACGGGAGGCAGCAGUGGGGAAUAUUGCACAAUGGGCGCAAGCCUGAUGCAGCCAUGCCGCGUGUAUGAAGAAGGCCUUCGGGUUGUAAAGUACUUUCAGCGGGGAGGAAGGGAGUAAAGUUAAUACCUUUGCUCAUUGACGUUACCCGCAGAAGAAGCACCGGCUAACUCCGUG
rnacentral:rRNA from 1 species